rnacentral:misc_RNA from 1 species
AUUGGGGAGCUGUGGGCGGAUGCGCCGCUGGAGAUGACGAAGCCGGGGUGGGAUCCGGUCUGGGCUGAUAAGGAUGACUGGGAUGUGGUUGAGGCGGAGGUGAAAGCGGGACGUGACCCGCCGAUUGCGCCGUUCUAUCUGCCGUACCGGAAGCCGUUUCCGGUGAUUCCUGAUAAUCACCAUGAUAUCUCGACUCCAAAGGCGGUCAUCGAGGAGCUUGAUCGUGUGGAGGAGUUUCUCAAAUGGGUCAGCUACGUCUUCCAGGACGGGAGCUCGUACGAAGGAACUGUUUGGGAUGACUUGGCUCAUGGGAAAGGCGUCUAUGUUGCUGAACAGGGGCUUGUCAGGUAUGAAGGGGAAUGGCUUCAGAAUAAUAUGGAAGGUCAUGGGGUUGUUGAAGUGGA